AUUGAACGCUGGCGGCAUGCUUUACACAUGCAAGUCGAACGGCCGCGCGGGCUUCGGCCUGGCUGCGAGUGGCGAACGGGUGAGUAAUGCAUCGGAACGUGCCCAGUAGUGGGGGAUAGCCCGGCGAAAGCCGGAUUAAUACCGCAUACCACCUGAGGGUGAUAGCGGGGGACCGAAAGGCCUCGCGCUAUCCGAGCGGCCGUAGUCGGGUUACCUAGUUGGUCGGGUUAAGGCAUAACAAGGCGACGAUCCGUAGCUGGUCUGAGAGGACGACCAGCCACACUGGGACUGGGACACGGCCCAGACUCCAACGGGAGGCAGCAGUGGGGAAUUUUGGACAAUGGGGGCAAACCUGAUCCAACCAUGCCGCGUGCGGGAGGAGGGCCUUCGGGUUGUAAACCGCUUUUGUUCGGGAAGAAAUCCUCUGGGCUAAUACCCCGGGAGGAUGACGGUACCGGAAGAAUAAGCACCGGCUAACUACGUG
rnacentral:rRNA from 1 species